AGAGUUUGAUCCUGGCUCAGAACGAACGCUGGCGGCAGGCUUCAUACAUGCAAGUCGAGCGGAAAGGCCCCUUCGGGGGUACUCGAGCGGCGAACGGGUGAGUAACAGGUGGGUAAUCUGCCUUUCGGAGGGGGAUAACGGCUGGAAACGGCCGCUAAUACCCCGUACGGUUGUGAAGCUCUCGGGCUUUGCAAAGAAAGGGGCCUUUAAAGCCCCGCCGAAAGAUGAGCCCGCCCCCCAUUAGCUAGUUGGCGGGGUAAUGGCCCACCAAGGCUGUGAUGGGUAGCCGAGCUGAGAGGUUGAUCGGCCACACUGGAACUGAGACACGGUCCAGACACCUACGGGUGGCAGCAGUAGGGAAUAUUGCGCAAUGGGCGAAAGCCUGACGCAGCCAUGCCGCGUGGAUGAUGAAGGCCUUCGGGUCGUAAAGUCCUUUUCUGAGGGAAGAACUGCCGGGGGAGGAAAUGCCCUUGGCUUGACGGUACCUCAGGAAUAAGCAACGGCUAACUCCGUGCCAGCAGCCGCGGUAAUACGGAGGUUGCAAGCGUUGUUCGGAAUGACUGGGCGUAAAGGGAGCGCAGGCGGCCAAGUCAGUCUGAAGUGAAAGCCCGGGGCUUAACCCCGGAAUAGCUUUGGAUACUGCCUGGCUUGAGUGUGCGAUAGGAAAGCGGAAUUCCAGGUGUAGCGGUGAAAUGCGUAGAUAUCUGGAGGAACACCGGUGGCGAAAGCGGCUUUCUGGCGCAUAACUGACGCUGAGGCUCGAAAGCGUGGGGAGCGAACGGGAUUAGAUACCCCGGUAGUCCACGCCGUAAACGUUGUGCACUAGGUGUGGGAGGUAUCGACCCCUUCCGUGCCGAAGCUAACGCAUUAAGUGCACCGCCUGGGGAGUACGGUCGCAAGACUGAAACUCAAAGGAAUUGACGGGGGCCCGCACAAGCGGUGGAGCAUGU
rnacentral:rRNA from 1 species